UUCCUAAUUUCAAAGUAUAGCUUUAAUUCAGGGGGGAAAUGUCAUUAUAAAAGCUCCCCUCUUCAAACCACAGUUAGUAUAAUAAUUGAUUUCUCUAAUUAUAAUCGACCGAUUAAUAGUAUCGAGUUCUUGAUGGGGUCUUAACAGUACUCUCCAUGUUGUACUUCUUUUGAGCCUGACAUAAAUCAGGGCUCUAGCCCUCUAUUUUUUUCUAAACGGCCUCCAUGCACAGUCAGGGGAAACGUACAUAGAGUCAACAAGGAUCCUGUUAACUAGUGGGAGAAAUCAAGCCGACAUAUGUGAAAGCAUCGUUACCAAGCUAGCAUUCAGGACGGGAGGGGAGGCUGUGCUGUGCCCUUCCGUGCUGAGCGCUGUGGCUCUCUCAUUUCCCCAGAUACUGGGAGCAGUGGUGACCCACAGGCUUCAGCGAAGUCUUUCUCACAAUUGCCCUCAGCUGAAGACCGCCAUGCCCCCAGGAUCAUGCUCCUUCCUGAAAACCUUCAUCCAAAGACUGGUUGAUUAAGGAGAGGGUACUAGAGGCCUCCCACCCUUGCCUUGAGUCAGGAUCAUUCAGAAGGAUCAUCCCCACUUUAGAGCUCUCCUGUAAGACCACCCCAAUGUGUUGUAACUCUGUUGGCCUUUCUCUGGCCAACUCUAUGUCCUUCACUCCCCCAUAGGGAUUGACCCCCAGAACAUUUCCCAAUGUAUUUCCUGUAUGCAAAUCUGUCUCAGAGUCUGAUUUCUGAGGGGGGACCCAGCCAUAGCAGCAUCAAGCACUGAUAUGAUGAAACCAGGAGGCUCAGGUUUGGGUCUUGCUCCUGCCAUUAUGAGGAGUCACCUCUCUGAGUCUCCUUUGAAAGGAAGGGUCACACUAGAUCUCCAAAUUAACGCAGCUUUCGAAGUCUGAGAUUACUGUCACACAGUAAGCGCUCAAUCUUGAUUAUUCUAAAAUUUGUGACAAAUAUCAAUUGAAAAUGCAGAACCAAAAAUCAAUAGCUAAAAAUCACUUUCCUAAUUCACUGGCUAAUUUGUUUGGCAAUGCAGAAUAGAUUUCCCCCCAAAUAUCCAUUUGACAACAGAAGAUACUCUUGUCAAUAAUUUCUGCACUGAGUUUCCAUCUUCUUUCUUCUCUCUGCCCAGGUUUGUAGGAGCAGAGGUAAGUCCAUUCAAAUACCUCGUCUCCCUCUGGAACCAGAUCAGCGAUUGCAGAGAAGGCUUGCCUGCGUGCUGCCCAAGUCACUCUUCCAAGUGCCCAUCUUGGCAUCCCUGUGUGCCAUCCCUUGCCUACCAAGGAGAGGGGUCCUAAACGAGAGGGAGGCGGCUUCCUUCUGGCAAGUCCCUGGGAGGACUCAGUUAGUUGUAAGCUAUCAGCAGCCAACACUUCAGGCACCUGGAGGUACCAAGGAAGGGCCAUGUGAAGACAGAGCCAGGAAGAGAGUUCUUACCAGAACCUGACCUUGCUGACACCCUGAGCUGAGACUUUUAACCUCCAGAACCGUGAGAACUAAAUGUUUGUUGUUUAAGCCACGUGGUUAUUUAUUUUGGCAUCCUGAACUUUCUGAGACACUGGGCAUUACAGCAAGCACAGCUCGUAACACCCUGACUUACAUUAACGUUGGAACAUUUCCCAAAGUCUGUCCUACUCAGGGCUAACACACAAAAGACAAAUUAAUAGUAGAAUUCUUCAGAAAGCAGUUCUUUUUCUUACCCAAAAAUAUUUACUACCUCCUCAAGAGGUAAAGUAGGAAAAAUUGUUACUCUCUACCUCCUGCCCCAUUAUCAGUCCAGGUUAUGUAGUAAGUCAUUCUGUUAACAAAGAUGUGAACUUAGUGUCUAAGAGAAAAAGUUUGUAUUUGUUUCCCAAAUUACAUUUGUUUGCACUUUGUUCAGGACACUGGAAAGGCCAUUUCGAGAAGGCCGCUUACAUUUCAUAUGGAAUAGUGAAAAAUCUUUGAUUUGAACUUUAUCUUGAAUAAAGAAGUAAAAAUUAUGAAACUAUAUUUCUUUUACUUU